UGGCAGGUUGGGUGGUUUCGAUAUGGCUGUGAAGUGCUGUGUUGUCCUCUCCCCUGCCGAAAGCAACUGUCUCCCACAAUCUCUGUCUAACUCAGUUUAUAGUAAGACAGGGACGCUUGGUCUCAAACAC
rnacentral:snoRNA from 1 species